UUUAUUGACAGAACCUAUAAGGAAAUGCAUUGACACAGCAGAAUGAAGAGUUGCUUAAAUACAGAGAAGCAUUACUCUUGCAACCAAAUGACUGAAACCCCCAUUGAAGUAAUACAAUGUAUUUUGCCAAAUAAGAAGUGCCAAAGUCAUAAGUUUGCACAGCAUUAAAACAAACAUUGGAUUUUAAUAAGUACAAGCCUCUAGAUUUCUUUUGCAUGAAACAAAACACCCUUAAAACAUAAAGUUUAUUUAUUACAUUGAAAAUCAUUUUCGACAAAAUAAAAGGGAAAGCAAAAUUUUCUAAUGUCUACCAUGAAAUAUUAAUGGAUCAAUAAUGUGCUAUUUGGCUGCAUAAAAUUGAUCUGAAAUAAAGUAGGAGAAAAAUCCUGGUCCACGGCUCAAUCAACGUAACUGGGAAGGUGAACAGAGCAACCCAGAAGCAUCUGCUCCUACCACUGCAAGAUCACACACAGUACAUAGCUGCCCCUCGUGGCUUGGCACAAAUCGAGAAGUACAAUAUGGGCAAGAGACAUCCUUCUGUCCUCGAUAGAUUGGGACAUAUGUCGCACCACAAAUCACAAAUGGGUUUCGCCGCCACCACUUGCCUCGCUCUCUUUACUUGAAUUUCGAUGGUAGGGUUUGUCUCAAGUAGCCUCCUGGCGAAGUUAUAAGCUGUGGCGAGGUUCUUUUCCUUGAAGCAUACAACCAUUGCAUUGAGCAGAGCUAACCUCAAGUGUGGUAGUUGAAGGUUGCAGUGAGUGAAAUAUGCUGCUAGCUCCUGUUGCCGUGCAGGGUUGUCCUUGAUUUCCCUCCUCUG